AUUGAACGCUGGCGGCAGGCUUAACACAUGCAAGUCGAGCGGGGGAAGGUAGCUUGCUACCGGACCUAGCGGCGGACGGGUGAGUAAUGCUUAGGAAUCUGCCUAUUAGUGGGGGACAACAUCUCGAAAGGGAUGCUAAUACCGCAUACGUCCUACGGGAGAAAGCAGGGGAUCUUCGGACCUUGCGCUAAUAGAUGAGCCUAAGUCGGUUUAGCUAGUUGGUGGGGUAAAGGCCUACCAAGGCGACGAUCUGUAGCGGGUCUGAGAGGAUGACCCGCCACACUGGGACUGAGACACGGCCCAGACUCCUACGGGAGGCAGCAGUGGGGAAUAUUGGACAAUGGGUGGAACCCUGAUCCAGCCAUGACGCGUGUGUGAAGAAGGCCUUAUGGUUGUAAAGCACUUUAAGCGAGGAGGAGGCUACUUUAGCUAAUACCUGGAGAUAGUGGACGUUACUCGCAGAAUAAGCACCGGCUAACUCUGUGCCAGCCGCCGCGGUAA
rnacentral:rRNA from 1 species